rnacentral:tRNA from 2 species
GCGGGCGUGGUGCGAAUGGUUCGCACACCCGGAGUCCCUUCGGGAGGUUGUAGGUUCGACUCCUGCCGCCCGCUCCA